rnacentral:rRNA from 1 species
GAUGAACGCUGGCGGCGUGCCUAAUACAUGCAAGUCGAGCGAACGGACGAGAAGCUUGCUUCUCUGAUGUUAGAGGCGGACGGGUGAGUAACACGUGGAUAACCUACCUAUAAGACUGGGAUAACUUCGGGAAACCGUAGCUAAUACCGGAUAAUAUUUUGAACCGCAUGGUUCAAAAGUGAAAGACGGUCUUGCCGUCACUUAUAGAUGGAUCCGCGCUGCAUUAGCUAGUUGGUAAGGUAACGGCUUACCAAGGCAACGAUGCAUAGCCGACCUGAGAGGGUGAUCGGCCACACUGGAACUGAGACACGGUCCAGACUCCUACGGGAGGCAGCAGUAGGGAAUCUUCCGCAAUGGGCGAAAGCCUGACGGAGCAACGCCGCGUGAGUGAUGAAGGUCUUCGGAUCGUAAAACUCUGUUAUUAGGGAAGAACAUAUGUGUAAGUAACUGUGCACAUCUUGACGGUACCUAAUCAGAAAGCCACGGCUAACUACGUG